rnacentral:lncRNA from 1 species
GAGAGGGAGGGAGGGAGAGGGAGAGGGAGAGAAUUAGAGUACAUGAAAAUUAGAAGAAAAAUAAUAAUAGCUUGCAGCCUUGAACCCAAAAGAAAAACUAAUAGGAGGAGGAGCGCAAAAUAAAAGGAACAUAGAAAAGAACAUUGAAGGAUAUAUCGGGGAUAUGAAUUUUUUUUCUCCUUUUUCUUCUUUUGGAAAAUGGAGGAAGAUGAAUUAAGAAAUUGUGAAAAAGAAAGAUACAUUUUUCUUCUUUUGAAGAAGUAUUAGGAUGAAAACUAGAGAGAUGUCUAUUUGUGAUGUUGUGGGUCGGUAGUUGUGAUGAACCAACGAACCGAAUAAGGAGAAAAUACAUACACAUUAACGGAAGUGUUUGAUCCAAAAAUUUCAAAAGAUCAAAUCCAGAAAACUUUACGCAUUUAGUAGCUAAGAUAAAAGAUAUUAUUUUCUAGAUCCCUGAUGAGCGCUUGUGUAAAGGUUUAUAUCAUGUGGUUUGAGAGGCUGAUAAUGA